UCUGGUGGCGAUGCGCUUGUGGGAGACACCCGUUCCCAUACCGAACACGAUGGUUAAGACGCAAGCGGCCGAUGGUACUGCACUGGAGACGGUGUGGGAGAGUAGGUGGCCGCCAGAUU
rnacentral:rRNA from 1 species